GAUGAACGCUGGCGGCGUGCCUAACACAUGCAAGUCGAACGGAGUUCUUAAGGAAUGCGACUUCGGUCAAAUGACUUUUGAACUUAGUGGCGGACGGGUGAGUAACGCGUGAGCAACCUGCCUUUCAGAGGGGGAUAACAUUUGGAAACAGAUGCUAAUACCGCAUAAGAUUACAGUACCGCAUGAUACAGUGAUCAAAGGAGCAAUCCGCUGAAAGAUGGGCUCGCGUCCGAUUAGAUAGUUGGUGAGGUAACGGCUCACCAAGUCGACGAUCGGUAGCCGGACUGAGAGGUUGAACGGCCACAUUGGGACUGAGACACGGCCCAGACUCCUACGGGAGGCAGCAGUGGGGGAAUCUUCCGCAAUGGCGCAAGCCUGACGGAGCAACGCCGCGUGAGUGAAGAAGGGUUUCGGCUCGUAAAGCUCUGUUGAA
rnacentral:rRNA from 1 species